rnacentral:misc_RNA from 1 species
AACGGUUUCUAUCAAACUUCGUGUGAAGCAGAGAGUUCCCGAUGGUGGUUAUUCCAACGGUCACCGGAUUAUCAACCGGCGCACACUUACUAUCGGUGCCGCGCACGAUAGCCACAGCUUCUAGAGCUUCGCCUUCUUCUCUUCCCUCGCUCUGUUACUUGAAGAAGAGCUACUACUCUCCGCAACGCCGGAGUAUUCUGCCGGCAAGGAAGCUUGUGAUACGAGCUGCAAGAACAGAGUCCAAAGGCAUGUCUCUUGGUUUCAGAGCUCCCAAUUUUGAGCUUACGGAGCCGCUUACUGAUAAAGUUUGGAACCUUGAUGAUUUUGAAGCAUAUCCUGCAUUGCUGGUUAUGUUCAUCUGCAACCAUUGUCCAUUUGUCAU